UACCAAGUCUACGAUCUAUAGCUGGUUUGAGAGGAUGAUCAGCAACACUGGGACUGAGACACGGCCCAGACUCCUACGGGAGGCAGCAGUGGGGAAUCUUAGACAAUGGGCGCAAGCCUGAUCUAGCCAUGCCGCGUGAGUGAUGAAGGCCUUAGGGUCGUAAAGCUCUUUCGCCUGUGAAGAUAAUGACUGUAGCAGGUAAAGAAACCCCGGCUAACUCCGUGCCAGCAGCCGCGGUAAUACGGAGGGGGUUAGCGUUGUUCGGAAUUACUGGGCGUAAAGCGCGCGUAGGCGGACAUUUAAGUCAGGGGUGAAAUCCCGGGGCUCAACCCCGGAACUGCCCUUGAUACUGGGUGUCUUGAGUUCGAGAGAGGUGAGUGGAAUUCCGAGUGUAGAGGUGAAAUUCGUAGAUAUUCGGAGGAACACCAGUGGCGAAGGCGGCUCACUGGCUCGAUACUGACGCUGAGGUGCGAAAGUGUG
rnacentral:rRNA from 1 species